GCCGGGCGUGGUGGCGCAUGCCUGUAAUCCCAGCUACGUGGGAAGCUGAGGCAGGAGAAUUGCUUGAACCCAGGAGGUGGAGGUUGCACCACUGCACUCCAGCCUGGGUGACAGAGCAAGACUCUGUCUCAC
rnacentral:SRP_RNA from 1 species